GACGUAGGGCGCGAGCGUUGUCCGGAUUUAUUGGGCGUAAAGAGCUCGUAGGCGGCUUGUCGCGUCGACUGUGAAAACCCGUGGCUCAACCAUGUGGUCUGCAGUCGAUACGGGCAGGCUAGAAUUCGGUAGGGGAGACUGGAAUUCCUGGUGUAGCGGUGAAAUGCGCAGAUAUCGGGAGGAACACCGGUGGCGAAGGCGGGUCUCUGGGCCGAUAUUGACGCUGAGGAGCGAAAGCGUGGGGAGCGAACAGG
rnacentral:rRNA from 1 species